rnacentral:sRNA from 1 species
CAGAAUCCCGCAGCCCGACUUGAACGGAGCUCUUUUUUGUUAUUGCGAUUUUGGAAAAGUUCUAUUGGUUGCUUCACGCCGUUCGCAAUAACAAAAAAAGCGGGAGUGGAAGGCGGAAAUAGCU